rnacentral:lncRNA from 12 species
CAGCGUUCCGCCAAGGAGCUCUGAUGUGCAGGAAAACUGCUCUGGACCAGGCUAUGAAACAUUCGGGCAUGUGGUUAUUGCUGUACAAACAGAACAAAGUGUGGACUUGUCCCUGAG